ensembl:ncRNA lncRNA:CR45979 long non-coding RNA:CR45979
AUAACGCUUGAGACAGGCCCGAGGGUUUUUGUUUUGCCAGAGCGAAACCCCUCGAGUGCCACCGACGACGAGAUGGGAUGAGGUUGGGGAAAACGACGAGGUCCUUUGAUCUGAUGCCAUGGAUGGCGAAGGAAAACGUGCGAAAACGCUUUAGCUCGGCUACGGAAAAGAGCCGGAUUGAUGUGGCGUCUAGUGGCGUCUACCUUGUUUGCUUUUCAUAAUGAAUGCGGCUUGAGUCAAAAGGAAAAAUAAGCCAACGGGGGAGUGAAAUUCUGCUUGGUUCGGGAACUCGUCGGGGAACUGUGCAAAAAAAAAAAACAGGAUACAGGAUACACACAUCACGGCGUAUCCUGUGCUGUCCUGGCAAGUUUAUUGAUCAAAUAUCGCAUGUCACUAUCCAAAAGCACACACAACGACACACAAAAUGGUCGGGAAAACCACAGGGGAAAGGAUACAGUUGGUUGGAUACGAAGAGAACCCAUUAUCCUCUGCCGCCCAACCAUAAAUGCCAACUAAAAAUGUCAUUUAAAUUGUCGUUAUGUCCUGUUUACUGUUCUCUGUCAUUUGGCCAACUUUCCCGUCCUGUAUCAGCGUUUUGUUUUCCACGCUUUCGGCCGUCAUCAUCAUCAACGUCAGGGGCAAAAACUUUCUGGCUUUUUACGGUCUCCUCGCUAACCGCAGGCUCCAACUGAAAAUAAACCCAGAGAACAUUAAAAACGACAAAAAUGAAUUGGCGCAAAUUAUAUAUACGCAUUAAAUAUAAAACAAAAAGAAAAAACACAGUAACGAAAAUAAAGUGUGGGCCAAAUAUUUCAGUGGCAAAUC